CAAUCACGCUUAUUACGCUGAGCCAUCACGCGUCCAAGAUUAUUGGAUCAGCGCGGGUGUUCAACGAAAAAUGCGGCAUUUUUUAAGAGUACCGUGGCAGAGCGUGCUGAAGAAGGUCGAAAAUUCGUCAACGAACGAUGCGCAUUCGAAUUAUUACGGGAGUUUGAACUCCAAUAUUGUAAUUAAACAUUUUCUCAUCGGUAGAAGAAUAUUUAAAUCGUAAUCAUUCGAUGGAGAAGAGAGUGAGGAAAAAUGAGAUCUCGUGACUACUGCGGUGACGGUGCAGACGAGGAACGUUGCAGCAUCAAGUGUCCCCUCGGUUAGUCGUGGCAAUGCGAAUAACGGGAGGAGGGAAAAAGGGUUGGAUGAAAAAAGGGAACGAACGAAAGGAGUAAAACAAAUGAGCCUUUGUAGCGGAGAGUCUCGCUCUUGUCUUAUCUCCUUCAUUCUCGUUCUCCUCCUUGUAGCACAUCUCGUAUUCGUUGGUUUUGUGGAGCUAGAAAUAAUCUUUGCCGAAAUUCGCCAUUCGCGAGAGCGCCGUUGGAAACUUCAAAAAAAGCAAUUCGAAAUAUGCGGAAAAGUUGAAACCUCUCCCGAAGCGUUUGCACUCGAUUUCGUAGCGAGACUUGACGAGAAUAGGCGUGCGAGGAGAAAAGUGAAGAGAAUUAUGCCGAAGGGUAGCUGGAAAACGAGGGGGAGCAGAAAAAACCAGAAAAAACGAAGCGAGAGGAAAACAGAGUGCUGGACAUCGUGGCCUCGCGUGUUUUCCUGCACCCCGGAUGUGUCUAUUCACGGAAGGAAAAAAGAGGAAGCGAAAGCAGUUACUCGAACAUCAUUGGGAGAGAAAUUCGUCUCCGAAUCACUCGAACCCCUCUAUCUAUGAUUGCGAAUGAACGGGGAAGAGAACUGGCAAG